rnacentral:lncRNA from 1 species
CUCUGUGACUGGCUUGCUUGAUGGUUAGGGUCUGAUCGCUGCCUGAGACACCAUAUCGGUACUCCUCAGAGUUGAUUCUGCGUGUGAAAAACAUAAAAAGAAAAAAAGUCAACUUCUUCAUGCAAUGUGAUCACAGGAUCUGGUUUGCCACUGAAAGGAAUCUUGAUGCUGACCACUUCACCUCGGAGAGCAUGAACUGCUCCCAUGCCUUCAAGAGUUUUAGGAUGGCAUCAACUGUUCCAAAAACAUUGCUGAGCUGGACUUUGUAUUUCCCAGCAUGAGUCUUACGUUGGACAUUCUUCAUGACAAGAUGAGUAUAGUGCUCAGUGUUUUCAAUAGUAAUGUUUUCUGAGUUUUGCAAAAGUUUCUGACCAUGGAACCAAGUCAUGGCAGGUACUGGACGACCAAUGUACAUAACAUGAAGCCGAAGUGUGGAACCCACAGCUCCAUAAUAUUUCUCUUUCAGUGGGUAACCAGGAUGGAACUGCGGUGUUGCUUGCAGGAGAAGCUUACUACUGGUUUCUACUUCUCCAACCUCAUUGGUGGCUAUGCAGGCACUGUCUCCAGACUGUCUAUAUUCAACCCAGUAUCCAAGAAUUUCUUUACCACCAUCACAUUCAGGUUUCUCCCACUGUAGAGUGACACUAUCUUUGGAUAUUGAAAGAAUCUCAAGUUCUCCUGGUUGGCUUGGUUUAUCUGAAAUAUUUUAAAAUAAUGAAAAGGGAGUCAGCUUUACUGGUGAAAUAAAAGGACCAAACAU